CGCUCGGCCCCGCUCGGCCCCGCUCGGCCCGGCGGCUUUCUGGGCCCCGGAGCGAGAAGCUCGGACCCGCAACUGCGGUCGCGAGGCUGAGCGACCCAGGCCCAACGCGAGGCACUGGCGUAGCAGCCCUCACGGCCUCCUGGGGCGCCCUGGCAUUACCUGACCGGAAACGAACCUUCCUCUCCUCCGUUCUUGGAACAAACAUUAAUGGAACGCCUCCUGUGUACCAGACCUGGACUUAGCAUUAAUGCAGAGCCUGCUAUGUGCCACGUAUGGGACGAGCAUUAAUGGAGUACCUGCUGUAUAUCAGACUGUGAACUUCAGGAGGGCAGUGACUGCAUGUGUCUCGGUCACCCUGGGGUCCGCAACGUCCAGCACAGAGCCUCAGGCCUCUUCCCUCCUCUAGCAAAACGGUGCACCAGUGCUGGCCUGGAUAGUGAUGAGUGGACUCGCCCACCCACAUGUUGGGAUCUCCCUCACCCGCUCUUACAGCAAGCUCUUUACGGACGUCUAGACCAUCCUAUUCUGCUGGAGAAGCACAUGUGCAGAAGAACUGAGGCCUCCGGCCAAGAGGUGCAGGAGGGAACCGGUUUGGAAGCGGCUCCUCCAGCCCCAGUGCAUAGCUUGAUUGCAAGCUCGUGAGAGACCCCGAGUCAGAACCAUCCAGCUACACCACUCUCAAAUUUCUGACCCUACCAAACUGUGUGAGACCAUGAAUGUUUAUUGUUUUAAGGCAGCAAGUUUGGGGGUGUUUCGUUACGUAGAAAUUAAUAGCAACACAUGUACCCAAGAGAAACAAAAGCACAGGUGUACAUAAGACCCGUACACACGGGACUUCCCUGGUGGUCCAGUGGUUAGGACUCCGCGCUUCCACUGCAUGGGGCUCCGGUUUGAUCCCUGGUUGGGGAACUAAGAUCUCACAUGCCGCGUGGUGCGGCUAAAACAAACAAACAAACAAACAAACCAGCAAAAAAGACCUGUACACACAUGGUGUAGCAGCUUUAUUGAUAAGAUCUCCAAACUAGAAACAACCCAAAUGUCCACCAACAAAGUGAGUGGAUAAACAAAAUGGGGUCCAUCCAUUCUCUGGAAUAUGAUUCAGCCAUAAAAAAGGAAAAACACAACAUGAAUGACUCUUAAAUGCCUUAUGCUGAGUGAAAGGCACCAGACACAAAAGAGGAUGUACUGUAUGAUUCCAUUUAUAUAAAAUUCUGGAAAACACCCACUAUGGAAAUCUAUAGUGACUGAAAAUAGAUUGCUGUUUGCCUGGGGCUGGAGGGUCGGGGCAGGGAGGGGCCCAAGGAAACUUUCUGGGGUGACGGAAACGUUUGGCCGUGCCACGCGGCUUGUGGGAUCUUGUUCACUAUCUUUUUUGUUGUUGUUGUUCACUAUCUUGAUUGUGCCCAUGAUUGGGGUAGACAUAUGACAAAACUCAUCAAAAUGUACAUUUUAAACACUUGCAGUUCGUGGCAUGUCAA